UACCUAGUUGAUCUUGCCAAUAGUCAUAUGCUUGCCUCAAAGAUUAAGUCGUGCAUAUGUAAGUAUGAACUAAUUUAGACUAUGAAACUACGAAAGACUCAUUAAAUCUAUUAUAGUUUGUUUGAUGCUAUCUGCUACUCGGAUAAUCGUAGUAAUCUAGAGCCAAUACAUGCAACAAACUUCAACUUUUGGAAGGGAUGCAUUUAUUAGAUAAAAGGUUGACGUGGGUUUUGCCUAUUGUUCUGAUGAAUCAUGAUAACUCAAUGGAUUGCAUGGCCAUUAUGCUGAUGACGCAUCAUUCAAAUUUAUGUCCUAUCAACUUUUGAUGGUAGAAUAGGGGCACACUAUGGUAUUGGUGGGUGAUGGAGAAUUAGGGUCCGAUUCCAGAAAAGGAGCCUGAGAAAUGAUUACCACAUCCAAAGUAACAGGCAUGCAAAUUACCCAAUCCUGACACGGGGGAGGUAGUGACAAUAAAUAACAAUACUAGGCUCUUUCAGUUUGGUAAUUGGAAUGAGUACAAUCUAAAUCCCUUAACAAGGAUCCAUUGGAGGGAAAGUUUGGUGCCAAUAGUCACAGCAAUUCCAGCUCCAAUAGCGUAUAUUUAAGUCGUUGCAGUUAAAAAGCUUGUAAUUGGACCUUGGGAUGGGUCGACCGGUCCGCCUCGCUAUGUGCACCUGUCGCCUCAUCCCUUCUACUGGCGAUGUGCUCCUAGCCUUAAUUGGAUGGGUUGUGCCUUUGGUGCUGUUACUUUUAAGAAAUUAGAGUGCUCAAAGCAAGCCUAUGCUCUUAAUACAUUAACAUGGGAUAACAUCAUAUGAUUUUGGUCAUAUUCUGUUAGCCUUUGGGAUCAUAGUAAUGAUUAAGAAGGAUGGUCAGAGACAUUCGUAUUUCAUAGUCAGAGGUGAAAUUCUUGGAUUUAUGAAAGACGAAUAACUGCAAGGAAUGUUUUGACAUAUUUGCAUAGAGGAUGAGAAGAGAAAUUCAUUUCAUUUUUCAUAUAUUAUUGUGUUUGGAUAGAUUACGA
rnacentral:ncRNA from 1 species